rnacentral:rRNA from 1 species
UACGGGGGGGGCAAGCGUUGUUCGGAAUUACUGGGCGUAAAGGGCUCGUAGGCGGCCAACUAAGUCGGAUGUGAAAUCCCCAGGCUCAGCCUGGGAACUGCAUCCGAUACUGGAUGGCUUGAAUUCGGGAGAGGGAUGUGGAAUUCCAGGUGUAGCGGUGAAAUGCGUAGAUAUCUGGAGGAACACCGGUGGCGAAGGCGGCAUCCUGGACCGAGAUCGACGCUGAGGCGCGAAAGCUAGGGGAGCAAACGGG